rnacentral:rRNA from 1 species
UGAAUUCCUGCCUCCGCAAUGGUGUGCUGCUCAUUCUAAGUACCAAACGGACAUUCGCAUCCCCUGGAGAGCUGCUAAGUUUAAUUAACUGACAGCUUCUUCUUAUCUCGUUGGUGGUGGUGCAUGCGCGAUCUUAGGUUGGGGGCUAGUCGGUUGGAUUAAUAACACGACCAACGCUAAGCGUGCUAAUUAUGCGCUCUUUAUUUCCUCGCUUACCGACUCCUCCUACUUGAGCGUUCGCGCGCUCCCAGCUGGAUUAAACACCCAAAUGCUCUGAGACGGCUAUCCAUGUAUUGCCCGUGUCACUCGCUAACAAAAAUAAUGCAUCGGCCCGCGUCCGGCUCGAACCGUAAAAAUCUCGCAAUCCAAUCGGAUUGGGCUCGUGCCUGGCUCCUGAACCUGAUUUUCUUUUCGACGAACAAGUCAUUCUUAUUAUUUUUUUUUUAUUAUUAAGUAUGGCUUACGCUUAUGCCCCCCCCUACCUCCUUAGUCACUACUCCAGACCCUGCGGAGUACUGA